AGGUCGACGAGCUGCUGGCCCGCGGCGGCGUGGUCACCCGGGGCGCGACCGGUGCGGCGUUCAACGCGGCGGCCGGCCUGC
rnacentral:tRNA from 1 species